CCAACAGCAUAACUGGCAAGUCCAAGAAUACCAAAGGGUUGUGAUCGGUAUAAACAAUUAAUGGUCUCUGUGCUGCACAGAUGUAGACCUCAAAAUGCUGAAUUGCCAAGCGUGACUUUCCCAUGAAGUUCAAUCAACGAUACAAGAUCAAGAGAACAGUGAACCCAUCUAACUCUAGCAGUUUCCAGAGGUAAAGUGGCAAAGGACCUUGGACCUAUAGUCAAGGAUUGGCAACAGGGGAUCCAG